rnacentral:lncRNA from 1 species
GUUCCGGAUUAACGUUCCUCAAUAACUAAUGUUUCCCCCGGACCAACUUUCCGUUCAGAUCAACUUUCCGUCUGUGCCAACGUUCGCCGCGAUUACCGUUCUGCUGUGGUUAGCGUUCCCUCAUCCAUUGGGGUCGAGGUCUUGUAGGUCCAUUUGGGGCCUAUUGAAGAUUUUUUACGAAUCCAUGCAUUUUCUUAUUAAACCUUCAUUACGGGCCUGGAAAAUAGAUACUGUGUUUCUAUAGUACAAAUGCCAUCUUCUCAGGGAGCCCUUGCCCAGACAUCCUUUUCUAAAAUUGCAACCCUCCCUUUCCCUUAAUGUACAUUCUCCCUACCUUCGUUCUCUUCCAUUCCCCCCAUUCACUUUAGACUCAUCACCAUUUACCUUAUACAUUUAACGUACAUUUGAUGAUUUUCUGAGGACCUGCUCCGCCCUAGCAUGUAAAGUCCACGAGCACAGCGAUUUUGUUCUUGCUCUCUGCUCUGUCCCAGAGACUGGGGGAGAGAGAGACCCUCUCAUUUUGUUUUAUAUUGUUUUAUACUCAGUACCUGUUUUAAGAAGAAACAACAAGGAAGUGAAACCAAAGACGGGCAGCCCGGCGCCAGGCCCGAAACCAGGCCUGGGCCUGCCUGGCCUAAACCCAGUUUCAUGUGUGUGAAGAGACCACCAAACGUGUGUGAAGAGACCACCAAACAGGCUUUGUGUGAGCAACAUGGCUGUUUAUUUCACCUGGGUGCAGGCGGGCUGAGUCCGAAAAGAGAGUAAGCAAAGGGUGGUGGAUUAUCAUUAGUUCUUACAGGUUUUGGGAUAGGCGGUGAAGUUAAGAGCAAUGUUUUGCGGGCAGGGGUGGAUCUCACGAAGUACAUUCUCAAGGGUAGGGAGAAUUACAAAGAACCUUCUUAAGGUUGGGGGAGAUUACAAAGUACCUUAAGGGUGGGGGAGAUUACAAAGUACAUUGAUCAGUUAGGGUGGGGCAGAAACAAAUCACAAUGGUGGAAUGUCAUCAGUUAAGGCUAUUUUUACUUCUUUUGUGGAUCUUCAGUUACUUCAGGCCAUCUGGAUGUAUACGUGCAAGUCACAGGGGAUGCGAUGGCUUGGCUUGGGCUCAGAGGCCUCACACCCAGUAGCUAAAAAUCAACUCAUAACUUAGAAACCGAUGUUAUUCAUAGAUUCCAGACAUUGUAUAGAAGAACGUUGUGAAACUCCCUGCCCUGUUCUGUUUCUCUCUUACCACUGGUGCAUGCAGCCCCUGUCACGUACCACCUACUUGCUCAAAUCAAUCACGACCCUUUCAUGUGAAAUCUUUAGUGCUGUGAGGAGCCCUUAAAAGGGACAGAAAUUGUGCAUUCGGGGAGCUCGGAUUUUAAGGCAGUAGCUUGCCGAUGCUGCCAGCUGAAUAAAGCCCUUCCUUCUACAACUCGGUGUCUGAGAGGUUUUGUCUGCGGCUCGUCCUGCUACAAGACUAGAAGAGUAGCAUAUUAUAUUCAGUAACUGUUUGCUGAAUACAUGAGGGAAUUGAGCUAAGUGUUUGGCCCAACACUGCACACACAAAGUGGCAGAGCUAGAAUUUGACCCAAGCAUAGUUUUGAAUCUGGAGGCUUUACCACCUCACACAUUGCCUCACCUCCUGAAGGUUUGAUUUGUAGUGGGAUUAGUAUCAUUCACCUCACAAUGGAUGUGCAAUACAAAUGUCAGAGGCGUGUGAACCAGAGCAACUCCAUCUUAAAUAGGAGCUGGGUAAAAUGAGGCUGAAACCUACUGGGCUGAAUUCCCAGACGGUUAAGGCAUUCUAAGUCACAGGAUGAUAUAGGAGGUCAGCACAAAAUACAGGUCAUAAAGACCUUGCUGAUAAAACAGGUUGCAGUAAAGGAGCCUGCUAUAAACCACCAAAACCAAAAUGGUGACAAGAGUGACCUCUGGUCGUCCUCACUGCUACACUCCCAGCAGCGCCAUGACAGUUUACAAAUGCCAUGGUAAUGUCAGGAAGUUACCCUAUAUGGUCUAAAAGGGGGAGGCAUGAAUAAUCCACCCCUCGUUUAGCGUAUCAUCAAGAAAUAAUCAUAAAAAUGCCUAACCAGCAGCCCUCGGGGGCUACUCUGUCUAUGGAGUAGCCAUUCUUUUAUUCCACUACUUUAUUAAUAAACUUGCUUUCACUUUGCACUGUGGACUUGCCCUAAUUCUUUCUUGCGCUAGAUCCAAGAACCCCCUCUUGGGGUCUGGAUCGGGACCCUUUUCCUGUAACGUAUUUCUGGCAACCACAGAAGGGACUAUAGUGCAGAAACCUGACCCAAUGGCUACCUUUGGGUAAGUGUUGGGGUCCGUUAACACUACCAGGUGUUCACCUGCAAAGGGAAGGUGUAAUCUGCCAUGUUAAAGACACUGUGCACCAACUUCUUCAUUUCUUUCUCCACGAUCUCCUCUUUCACUUCUGCUGUCCUUUUCACCUUGCUGUGCACAGAACUGAUGACAGGCUCUUUCCACUGGUACAGCUUGCCACUCACCAGAGCAAAGCUAAAUGGCAGGCACAGGAAAGCAUCAAUGGGAGGCAUAGCACAGUGGGGUGGGAGGCAGGCUCUGCAGGCCACUUCCGUUCCAAUCCUAGCUCGGCUGCAUGACUUGCUUCCGUGUGACUCGUUUUCCC